rnacentral:tRNA from 1 species
UCUUAGGUGACUGAGCUUAAGUGUUAGACUUUUAAUCUAAAAACGGCACUUUCCUGCCCCUGAGAA